rnacentral:rRNA from 1 species
UACGGGGGGGGCAAGCGUUGUUCGGAAUUACUGGGCGUAAAGCGCGUGUAGGCUGUCUCGCAAGUCGGGUGUGAAAGCCCUGGGCUCAACCUAGGAAGUGCACUCGAAACUGCGAGACUUGAGUCCUGGAGAGGAAGGCGGAAUUCUCGGUGUAGAGGUGAAAUUCGUAGAUAUCGAGAGGAACACCGGUGGCGAAGGCGGCCUUCUGGACAGUGACUGACGCUGAGACGCGAAAGCGUGGGGAGCAAACAGG